rnacentral:rRNA from 1 species
GACGUAGGGCGCGAGCGUUGUCCGGAUUUAUUGGGCGUAAAGAGCUCGUAUGCGGCUUGUCGCGUCGAAUGUGAAAUCUCAGGGCUCAACUCUGACAUUGCAUUCGAUACGGGCAGGCUCGAGUUCGGUAGGGGAGACUGGAAUUCCUGGUGUAGCGGUGAAAUGCGCAGAUAUCAGGAGGAACACCGGUGGCGAAGGCGGGUCUCUGGGCCGAUACUGACGCUGAGGAGCGAAAGCGUGGGGAGCGAACAGG